UGGGGAAUUUUGGACAAUGGGCGAAAGCCUGAUCCAGCAAUGCCGCGUGUGUGAAGAAGGCCUUCGGGUUGUAAAGCACUUUUGUCCGGAAAGAAAUCCUUGGCUCUAAUACAGUCGGGGGAUGACGGUACCGGAAGAAUAAGCACCGGCUAACUACGUGCCAGCAGCCGCGGUAAUACGUAGGGUGCAAGCGUUAAUCGGAAUUACUGGGCGUAAAGCGUGCGCAGGCGGUUUGCUAAGACCGAUGUGAAAUCCCCGGGCUCAACCUGGGAACUGCAUUGGUGACUGGCAGGCUAGAGUAUGGCAGAGGGGGGUAGAAUUCCACGUGUAGCAGUGAAAUGCGCAGAGAUGUGGAGGAAUACCGAUGGCGAAGGCAGCCCCCUGGGCCAAUACUGACGCUCAUGCACGAAAGCGUGGGGAGCAAACAGGAUUAGAUACCCUGGUAGUCCACGCCCUAAACGAUGUCAACUAGUUGUUGGGGAUUCAUUUCCUUAGUAACGUAGCUAACGCGUGAAGUUGACCGCCUGGGGAGUACGGUUGCAAGAUUAAAACUCAAAGGAAUUGACGGGG
rnacentral:rRNA from 1 species